GAUGAACGCUGGCGGCGUGCCUAAUACAUGCAAGUCGAGCGAACAGAUGAGGAGCUUGCUCCUCUGACGUUAGCGGCGGACGGGUGAGUAACACGUGGAUAACCUACCUAUAAGACUGGGAUAACUUCGGGAAACCGGAGCUAAUACCGGAUAAUAUAUUGAACCGCAUGGUUCAAUAGUGAAAGACGGUUUUGCUGUCACUUAUAGAUGGAUCCGCGCCGCAUUAGCUAGUUGGUAAGGUAACGGCUUACCAAGGCAACGAUGCGUAGCCGACCUGAGAGGGGGAUCGGCCACAUGGGAACUGAGACCGGGGCCAGACCCCUAGGGGAGGCAGCAGGAGGGAAUCUUCCGAAAUGGGCGAAAGCCUGACGGGGCAACGCCGCGUGAGUGAUGAAGGUCUUCGGAUUGUAAAACGCUUUUAUUAGGGAAGAAAAAAUGUGUAAGUAACUAUGCCCGUCUGGACGGUACCUAAUCAGAAAGCCACGGCUAACUACGU
rnacentral:rRNA from 1 species